rnacentral:lncRNA from 10 species
GUGACUUUCUUGUUAAAGAAGUGCAUGCAUUUUCUAUCCACCGAAACCCACACAAACAGGUGGCACAAGGGCCCCCUUGGCCAGAGACCAAGUCUCCCUGGGCCUCCAACUUCCAUGGAGGCCCCCAAGCUGCCCUUGGUUCCGAUGGUGCAAGGAAGCGUCUACCUGUAAGAGCUCUCUUUUGCCACUUCCCAGGAGAACCCCGAUUUGGUGUGGCCGAGACCUCCAACCCCAGCCUGGAGCCGCCGUGCCUAUUUCUGGAAUCUGAGAGACCUCAAAUUCCAAAGGCACCGUGAGAGUCUCAGGACUCAGCCUUUCCACCCUUGCCGUGCCACGGUGACAAGGGUGGGAGGGUUCCCGCAGGGGUCCAGCUCGUGUCUGUGAGAGUGCAGACGGGCAGUUCAGCGCGGGCCCCAGUGCCGGGGGUGGGGGGCAGGGAGCUCCCGCAGGGCUUUGCUGAGAAGGGGCAUAACCAUGACCCACUGGUGAUGUCUGUGAGGUGGAAUGCAGUGGUGUGAUCACAGUUCACUGCAACCUUGAACACCUGGGCUCAGGCAAUCCUCCCACCUCAGGCCCCUGAGUAGCCGGGACCACACGCACAUACCACCAUGCCUGGGUAAUUUUUCAUUUUUCUGUAGAGACAGGGUCUCUCUAUGCUGCCCAGGCUGGUUUCAAACUCCUCCAGCCAGGACCCCUUCUUUUUUUUUUUUUUUUCUUCAUCAGCCAGCUAAUUCAAGGCUGGGGAACAUUCCAUUUCAAUUUUAUUGAAAGCUCAGGAGUAGCAAAAGGGAAACAAACUCAAUCACAGUCACAGGGCAGCCUGACUUACAGGUUAGAGAGCAAGGCUGGUACUCCAGGCUAAACAGGGCCUGUCUCAGCCUCAGUCCUAGCGUGCUUCCAGCGGGUGUUGUCAGGAUAGCAACCUAGCUGGAGAGACAGCCCUCCCCUCUAGUUUCACUGACCAGAAUGGAGCCAAGGGCCCAAGGGGAAUGGUAUAGAAGGAUUGGCUUCUUCCAGUCAGAAACCCCCUCCCACCCACCCAUCAUAAUGGGCUUAUCCUAAUA